rnacentral:misc_RNA from 1 species
UCUCCGUAGGUGAACCUGCGGAAGGAUCAUUAUUGAAAUAAACCUGAUGGGUUGUUGCUGGUUCUCCAGGGAGCAUGUGCACACUUGUCAUCUUUAUAUCUCCACCUGUGCACCUUUUGUAGAUCUGAAUAGCUUUCUGAAUGCUUAGCAUUUGGGUUUGAAGAUUGACUUUUCUGUCUCUCUUCACUUUCAGGUCCAUGUUUCUCCAUAUACCCCUAUGUAUGUUAUAGAAUGUAAUAAAUGGGCCUUUGUGCCUAUAAAUUUAUACAACUUUCAGCAACGGAUCUCUUGGUUCUC